rnacentral:rRNA from 1 species
GAUGAACGCUGGCGGCGUGCCUAAUACAUGCAAGUCGAGCGAGCGGCGGACGGGUGAGUAAUGUCUGGGAAACUGCCUGAUGGAGGGGGAUAACUACUGGAAACGGUAGCUAAUACCGCAUACCAUCAGAUGUGCCCAGAUGGGAUGAGCUAGUGGGUGGGGUAACUGAUCACCUAGGCGACGAUCCAUAGCUGGUCUGAGAGGAGGACACGCGACACUGGCAUUGGUAAACGGUCCAGUCUCCUUCGGGAGUCAUCAGUGGGGACUAUUGCACAAUGGGCGCAAGCCUGAUGUAGCCAUGCCGCGUGUAUGAUGAAGGCCUUCGGUUGAUAAAGUACUUUUAGCGGUGAGGCGGUACCCGACGAAGAAGCACCGGCUAACUCCGUGCCAGCAGCCGCGGUAAUAC